UUUCAGGACUUCAUCGGUUUUUCCGCACAACUCUCAAAAGCUCAGCCGAGGCGGAUCAGGCUCAACUGCGCAGAAUCGGAAACCGCGCGCCUAGGAAUGGGCCGAGGGUUGAGCUCUGCGGGACGCCCACGUGUUUACGCUGACGUUGACGUCACCGCUCUGGGUCUGGAACUGGAUCUUGCAGUGACAUUUUCAACUCAGAAAUGCUUACAACUGAGCAAAGAUGACCGCAGACAUCCUGUUCCAGCCAUAAAACUGAGAUUGAGAUGAACAGCAAUGCCAUUUCUCCAGGUCCACUGAAACAAAAAUUGUGGGACUACUUGGUGGAUGAACUUCGUUAUUAGUCACCAAUACAAAAGCAUGUAUCAACUGAGGGCAGCCAUUCUUCUACUGUCAGGCCAGAUCCUGCUUGAAAAGAGUAAAGCAGCUGAGAUACAGCCGACAUAUGGAGAUGACGGAACACUCCCGACUCCAAGACGGCAGAGAGGAAGAUGGAGAGAAGCUCAAAGAGAGCAGGUCUGGGCAGGCAGCG